rnacentral:rRNA from 1 species
CACCAGACUCCUACGGGAGGCAGCAGUGAGGAAUAUUGGUCAAUGGGCGGGAGCCUGAACCAGCCAAGUCGCGUGAAGGAAGAAGGUACUUAGUAUUGUAAACUUCUUUUGUCGGGGAACAAAGGCGGAGACGCGUCUCCGGAUGAGUGUACCCGAAGAAAAAGCAUCGGCUAACUCCGUGCCAGCAGCCGCGGUAAUACGUAGGUGGCAAGCGUUGUCCGGAUUUACUGGGUGUAAAGGGCGUGCAGCCGGAGAGACAAGUCAGAUGUGAAAUCCACGGGCUCAACCCGUGAACUGCAUUUGAAACUGUUUCCCUUGAGUGUCGGAGAGGUAAUCGGAAUUCCUUGUGUAGCGGUGAAAUGCGUAGAUAUAAGGAAGAACACCAGUGGCGAAGGCGGAUUACUGGACGAUAACUGACGGUGAGGCGCGAAAGCGUGGGGAGCAAACAGGAUUAGAUACCCGCGUAC